rnacentral:rRNA from 1 species
CGGUAAUACCCGAUAACAUCUUUGGAUCAAAUGGUGUGAUUCCGCCUGAGGAUGAGUCUACUUCCUAUUAGCUAGUUGGUGUGGUAAUGGCUCACCAAGGCAACGAUGGGUAGCGGGUGUGAGAGCACGAUCCGCCUCACUGGGACUGAGACACUGCCCAGACACCUACGGGUGGCUGCAGUCGAGAAUCUUCGGCAAUGGGGGAAACCCUGACCGAGCGACGCCGCGUGCGGGAUGAAGGCCCUCGGGUUGUAAACCGCUGUCGUAAGGGAACAAAUCUAAGAGGGUACUCCCUCUUAGUUGAGUGAUCUUAGGAGGAAGGACGGGCUAAGUUCGUGCCAGCAGCCGCGGUAAGACGAACCGUCCGAACGUUAUUCGGUAUCACUGGGCUUAAAGAGUUCGUAGGCGGCCCGACAGGUGAGGUGUGAAAUCCCUCGGCUCAACCGAGGAAUUGCGCUUCAAACCGUCAGGCUUGAGGGAGAUAGAAGUGAGCCGGAACAGA